AUCAUGUUCUACACCAGACCAGUGGAGCCAAACUGCAGCCCAUCAUCAUCCUCAUCUGGUUGUAAGUAGGCAAUCUAGUAUAUUAUUAGUGACACUAAUCUAUAAUUUACCUCACAUUAAAGGGACACUUAAAUCAUGCUGGCUUUUUAAUGUAAACACACACUGUGUGCAGCACUGGCGUUAGUUAAUAUGGCAGAUCAUAUGGGUGGG